UUUCCCUCUCUCUAAAAAAAUAUCGCAUGGGACACAAAAGAGGACAUGGAGGAGGCGUAUCGUGGGAUGCCCCGCCAGGCCACCGCCACCACCGACGAGCGCAUCGUGGGAGGCUCCGCCACGCCGCCGCCGACGAGCACGAGGAUGCGUAUCGCGGGGAGGGUGGCGUCAGUCUGCCGUCGAAUCCGUGACCUCACGCCAACGAGCAUGAGCCUUGAGGAGGAGGCGCGUCGCGGGGAGGACUCCGACAGGAUGCCGUCGUCUCCGCCACGCCGCCACCGAAGAGCUCGAGGAGGAGGAGCGAUGUGGGGAGGGUUGCACAAGGCCACCGUCGACUCGGCCACGCCGUGAAGAGCAGCUCCAAUGGAGCCCGACCGCCUUGGCAUAUCCUCUGCGAGUUGAGCGCUCCGGCCAGGGCGCCAUCUCGAUGGCGGCUCUCCUACAGAGUUGAAGGCGCAUGCUAGCUAGAGGUCAGCUUCAUCUGCCAAUCACAGUCUGCACUGCAGCGCCUAGAGGAGACGAACUGGUGUUGCAUCGGCUCCUGAAGUGCGGCCUGAAUCCCAAUGAAUCGGGUGGGUAAUGUGUUGGGCUACUGCUAGAGAAUGGCGCUGAUCCAAAUCCUACAUAUCCAUGAGGAGUUCCUUUAUGGAGGCCUUAAGCAGGAGGCACAAGCCUGUGGCGGAUCUGCUAGCGGAGGCUGGCAACGGCCUGCCUGUGAGCGACCCGGCCAUGUAUGCACGCGCCACCGUCGAGGAGUUCGAUACCGCAUUGCUUGAGGAAAUCAUCUGGCGGGGAUGUGACCGUUGUGUGUUGCAGCGACAGCUGCAGCGCGCAGUCCAGGACGACAACAUCUGGAUUAUCAGAUAGCAUUGGCUGCAACAUCUAGCUCAGGCUAAGGAUGAGGGCUGCUAUUGUUCUCAACAGUGGUCAAGGUGCACACCCGAAUUGGCCAUGCUGCACCGAGCUGAAUGUCAUGACCUGGUUGUGACGGUGAACCAAGCUGUUCGGCUUUCAGAACUGUGGAUUUUGUGUCAAUGAAAUCUCUUGAAGAACAACAUGGUACAUACUGUAAGCAUCCCAUUAAUUUGGCCAUCCUCAUGUCAGUUUGGGUGGUCUAAUGGAGGUAAGGGAGUUUGAUAGAAUAAUUCAUUUGAGCAAUUUUUUUGUUUGAACAUGUAUUUCAUACGCAAUAUAAAUAUAAUACCAUGAUGUUAUGUACAAAACUAGAAGAAUGACAAUAUUAAAUUGCGUUACUAUGCUGAUGAUUAACUUGAUAUACGAAGAGUCAAGAGUAUGUGUGCGUUUUCACUGUCAGAAUGGUGCUGCCGUAUCAGUGGUAUCAACGCUAUAAAUUUUUGUUCUGCCAUCAUAAGCUUCUGCUAGAGUAAGAAUAACUAUUUUUGUUCCUACGCACAAACAUAUCCUGGCCUGCCGAGUGUAUAUUUUGUAUCAUACAAACGUACUAUACAAUAGACGGAAGUACAUUAUUCUUUGGCUGAAGAUUGUCCACUGCUUUAUCCUGUAGACUGAGAUAUGGUUUUCAUGAGACUUUUGCCAGUUCUUUGAGGCCUUGGUUAGGUAGUUGACUGCUAGCAGCACAAUUUCUGUCGGAUCGAGAAAUUCUAUGGUGCUUAGCCUCUGGUUUGUGUUUUUUUAGUAAAUCAUUCGCUGACAGAGUUGGCAGCUAUACUUAGAAUGUAGAUCAGGAAGAAAGUUCAACCUUUUGUAAUAGAAAGUCUUGAGCUUUGUUUUUGAUAUGUUGAUUCUUUUAUCAGAAAAAGUGAGAUAAUCAUCCAAUUUCUUAUGCUUGGCAUCGAGUACAUAAUUUCUGAAAUGCCUCUUUUAACAAACAUUGUUGUUUACUUCAUGUUGGCCAACUAUUUCAUCAAGGAAGAUACAUAGAUAGAUAGACUCAAUUCAUGUGCAAAAAGUAAGAAUUGACUGUUUGUGCAUAAGGAGGUAUAUGGUCAGGCAAUUAGUCCCACAAGUCUCUGGGUGAAAGCUAACAUAUGUUUAUCUGUAAACUCUUGCAGAUGCCAGCUGGAGGGAGUGAGUGUUUGAGGACCUAAUAUCAAAUUCUUGCAAACGGUGCGAUCUGCCAACACCAAACCAUUGCAGACGGUGGCUGUAGCUAACCAGUAUCUAAAUUGCCUUCAACAGCCGAUGCGUGUAUAAAUAAGACUUAUUUAGUGUAUGUUGUAUUACUAUCAUGCUAUGUACCUUUUCACUGCCUGCUAA